ACUCCUACGGGAGGCAGCAGUGGGAAUAUUGCGCAAUGGGGCAAGCCCUCGACGCAGCCAUGCCGCGUGAGUGAAGAAGGCCUUAGGGUUGUAAAACUCUUUCAGNGGUGAAGAUAAUGACGGUAGCCCACAGAAGAAGCCCCCGGCCAACUCCGUGCCAGCAGCCGCGGUAAUACGGAGGGGCGUAGCGUUGUUCGGAAUUACUGGGCGUAAAGCGCGCGUAGCGGACUGGUCAGUUGGGGUGAAAUCCCGGGGCUUAACCUCGGAACUGCCUUCAAUACUGCCAGUCUUGAGUUCGAGAGAGGUAAGCGGAAUUCCUAGUGU
rnacentral:rRNA from 1 species